GCACGAAACCAUCCUAUUCAAAACAAAGGCAAAUUGCGCUCCAGAUGCCUAGACUGUCUUUCGAUUAUACGAUGAAUGCGAAGGCGGAGUAUCAAUGAAAUGCCGACGCACUAUAAACUCUGGCGUCGAGAGUCUUAGGUUUGCACGCGGGGCAAUCGCUGAAGCUAGUCGUGUAUUUUUUCACAUACCCAAAAACGAAAUGGGGCAGCUGGUGGUGCAGAAAGAGGACAUU